GUGGGGAAUAUUGCACAAUGGGCGCAAGCCUGAUGCAGCGACGCCGCGUGAGGGAUGACGGCCUUCGGGUUGUAAACCUCUGUUAGCAGGGAAGAAGAGAGAUUGACGGUACCUGCAGAGAAAGCGCCGGCUAACUACGUGCCAGCAGCCGCGGUAAUACGUAGGGCGCGAGCGUUGUCCGGAAUUAUUGGGCGUAAAGAGCUUGUAGGCGGUUUGUCGCGUCUGCUGUGAAAGGCCGGAGCUUAACUCCGUGUAUUGCAGUGGGUACGGGCAGACUAGAGUGCAGUAGGGGAGACUGGAAUUCCUGGUGUAGCGGUGGAAUGCGCAGAUAUCAGGAGGAACACCGAUGGCGAAGGCAGGUCUCUGGGCUGUAACUGACGCUGAGAAGCGAAAGCAUGGGGAGCGAACAGG
rnacentral:rRNA from 1 species